rnacentral:lncRNA from 1 species
UGAUCAUCAGCGACGUUCGGAUCCAUUUUCUAGUUAAAUAUGAGGCAGUAUUUCACAAUGAUGCUCUGCAUUCUGUCAUGUUUCUUAGAAGCAAGCCCAGAAGAACACCUGAGCAAAAAGUGCAGCAAGGCAAGCUUUGGCUGUUUUGUAAAGUGUUGAUAUCUCAAAGCAUUAAAAUUUGCACAAAGUUUGAGACCUUUUUCAUCUGAGCCAUUGCUUUCUUAGUUUGUUACUUGGAAUUGGACUAGUUGCUUAAAAUGUAUAUAAUCAUAAUAUAAAAUAAAUUUUUGCUAAUUUUGAAUGAAUCAGUGAUAAAAUCAACUUAUCUUUGCAGCAACUACUGAAAAUUGCUUCAGUUUCUCAAUAAUGCUGAAUUGUCAUUACAUAUUGAUUUUUGCCAUUUCAAAUAUCUAUUCUUCACUUAUGUUAAUUCUUGCAUCACUUUGCAUUUUGUGCUUAAUCCCAAGAGUUCUUUGCAUUUUGGUACAGUGCCUUGAUGACUGUAUUUCAGAUGUUUAAUAGACGUUGCACUUAGGAACUUCUGGUUUUACCUAUAAAAGGUUUUGUUCUUGCCAUGUACUUGUGAAUCCUGUUAUGUGCUAUACUUUGUAUACGUUUUUAUGUAUUUGUUUCUAUUUUCUGCUCUGGAUUCUUUGCCUAUUUAAUACUGCAGGUAGCUCAAGAAAUUGAAUCCGAAGCUAAAUACGAAAUGAUUUUCUCAACCAGCUGGUAUGCCAUUAACUGUACAGAACCUGAAUCUGAAUUGGGCCUCGACUGAUUACUGAUAUUACAUUCACUAAUUGCUGGAAAAGUAGAUGAGGAAUUAGCCGCAGUUGGCAACCUGUUUUCCUUCCGAAUUAUUGACUUAACAGACAGUGCACGUGAAUCACUCUUUUAGGCAGUAUGCUUCACAAGAGAAGAAUUUGGUGUUCGUUUAAUUCAAUUUGUGGGAAAAGGUCUUGCAAAUUACAGGUACCAUGGUGAUGUAGAGGGUUUAUGCCAUGCUUCUAUACAAUCCUUUCCUAUUAAAAAUGUUACUUCUUAUAGCACCAACAAAACCUUCAAAAAUGAAAAUUUAAAAUUUGACAUUGAAGUCAAUUGGAGGAUGGGAGUAAAGGAGUGAUGAGGAAAAUGGAAAAUCAUGUUAAAAUGAGUCUGAAGCCAUAGCUGAGAAUUGUAGUGGAUCUUGUUUUAUAUAUAUUUUGUGAACUCGUACAGUUUGAGGAAUGCAAGAAGGGAACAAAAGUUUCCAGCAUUUAUGGCGGCAUUAUUAGGGGAAGGAAGGGAAUACCCAGUUGGUCGUGCGACCCUUAUUUUGUUUGAUGCAUUAUUUUUUUAAGCUGAUUCUAUGCCCUUCUAUUCAUCCCCUUGAUCACGCUCUGAUCAUAUGGGAACUUAGGAAUUUUUAAGGCUGUUGAUUUUGGUUCGGUAAAAUUCUGUUGAAUACUCAAAAAUUGAAAUGUGCAGUUCGUAUUGCUGUCUUUUUCCAAAAUAAGAGGUUCAUGCCUCUUUUGGCCCUCACCAUCAAAAACCUUUACUUGUUUUAGAAAUUUGGUCCAAUAUUAAUCCUUGAACUGUUCGACUCAUUAUCUUGUUUGAAACGACCUAGCUCUCGUCUAUUGUUCUAUUUCUUUUACAGCAAAUGACAUUGAUCAAAGCUCAAGUAGGGGGGAAAAAUAACAUGAGGAUGCUGAACAAAAGCAUCGUCAAGGAAGGAUCAAGUCGUCAUUAAUGUGGUUCCUUUUGCACUUCUUUGUUUUUUGUUGUCGAAAUUUUCACAAAGAUGAACAAGAAUACUUCUCCAUUGCUUUCUCCCAGGGCUGGUACAUUAAGUUCACUUAAAAAAUAUCUGUCUACGUAUAUAUCAAAUGCAUUUUCUCUCAAAACCUUUCACAUGGCUUAUCCUUUUAAGUUGUUACAAGUCAGAAAAGCAUGCUUGUGGUUAUUCCAACCUUCUUGUAAAAUGUAAAUAGUUAUAUGGAAUGGCUUGUAAAUACUCCGCUGAAGCAAGAAUUAGAAGAUAUUAUUAUUUUUUCCGUAUGUGUUUAAAAAUUUCCUGUGUGAAGAUGGAAAAGUUGGAAAAGAUGGAAACUGAUAAUAUUAGUCUCUCUCUCUCUUUUUUUUUUUCCCCCAAGAAAUUGGAAUCCUGGGAAUUUUGCCCUAGGAUAUCAGAAGUUUAGUAGGUACCCUUUAUAACAAGAAUUGGAAUCUUUGAUGCUAUGUCCAUCGAACUUAAAAAUCCUACGUUAACUAAGAAGCUGCUACAUGGAAGUACUCCAGUAAAGUGUUUCUAGAGUUAUCAUUGUAAAGAUUGGGUUUUGCUGAAAUUUGAGCCCGAAAGAUGGUUGCUGGCCUACUGAUCCUUUUCAUUGUUCGGCCCAAUUGCUCAGUCCAUCUAAAUGAAGGUUUAGACUUGAAGAAUUUUGUUUCUUAACUAUGAUUACUGCAUUCGUAACUUAAAUUGAAUGGAUGGCUGACACAUGAAGUACUUGUGACCGUUGGAUGCAUAGAUGAAAUGAUACAUAUACUAUCUGUAGUCAUUUUGAAGGGGUGUGGAUGAAACCCUAGUUUCUUGACAUUUUUUUUUUUUUUUUUUAACGAGGUCUCCCAGCUUGCGCCAGACUAUAUAUCGUCGUCCCUGAACCUCCGGCCCCUCAGCUGCUCAGGGAGGUAAAUCGCAGAAUGUGCCCUUAGUUUCUUGACAUUCUUU